UACAGAGGCCCCAAGCGUUAUCCGGAAUCACUGGGCGUAAAGGGUGUGUAGGCGGUUUUGUUAGUCUUUUGUGAAAGCUCUUCGGCUUAACCGAGGAAACGCGGAAGAAACGGCAAGGCUUAGAGGAUACGAGAGGUAGAGGGAACUCAUAGUGUAGGGGUGAAAUCCGUUGAUAUUAUGGGGAACACCAAAUGCGACGGCACCCUACUGGAGUAUCCCUGACGCUGAGACACGAAAGCGUGGGAAUCGAACGGG
rnacentral:rRNA from 1 species